rnacentral:misc_RNA from 1 species
GCAAUUGUCAGGACGCGGCCGUCAGACCAUCAGGGCCGUGAUUCCGCUCGCGCAUUGCAUCGAUAAGCUUAAUUUACAAAUCAGGUUCGAUAAUCCAAAAUCACCGUUUGAGAUUGGAUUGAAUAUUGACGUGGGGUGUCUACAACAUCACCAUCAAGUGCGCGGUCGGCGCGAAGGAGGGGCUUUCGACCAUUCCUGCAGAAUGUUUGGCAGAAAUGAAAAUGGGGAAUCCCAUCAAGUUUGGUGUUGGCGACGAUGGCA